rnacentral:rRNA from 1 species
GACGAACGCUGGCGGCGUGCUUAACACAUGCAAGUCGAACGGAAAGGCCCCUUUCGGGGUACUCGCGUGUCGAACGCGGGCGUAACACGCGCGUAACCUGCCCUUGACUUCGGGAUAACUCUAGGAAACUGGGGCGAAUACCGGUAAGGAAUCCUCUCUGCAUGCGGGGGGUUGGAAAGCGUCGGCGGUUUUGGAUGGACUCGCGGCUUAUCUGCUUGUUGGUGGGGUAGUGGCUUACCAAGGCUUUGACGGGUAGCCGGCCUGAGAGGGCGACCGGCCACAUUGGGACUGAGAUACGGCCCAGACUCCUACGGGAGGCAGAAGGGGGGAAUAUUGCACAAUGGGCGGAAGCCUGAUGCAGCAACGCCGCGGGCGGGAUGACGGCCUUCGGGUUGUAAACCGCUUUCAGCAGGGGCGAAGCUUGUGGUGACGGUACCUGAAGAAGAAGCACCGGCUAACUACGUG